rnacentral:rRNA from 1 species
CCAGACUCCUACGGGAGGCAGCAGUGGGGAAUAUUGGACAAUGGGGGGAACCCUGAUCCAGCGACGCCGCGUGAGUGAAGAAGUAUUUCGGUAUGUAAAGCUCUAUCAGCAGGGAAGAAAGAAAUGACGGUACCUGACUAAGAAGCCCCGGCUAACUACGUGCCAGCAGCCGCGGUAAUACGUAGGGGGCGAGCGUUAUCCGGAUUCACUGGGUGUAAAGGGAGCGUAGACGGCCGUGCAAGCCAGGAGUGAAAGCCCGGGGCCCAACCCCGGGACUGCUCUUGGAACUGUGCGGCUGGAGUGCGGGAGGGGCAGGCGGAAUUCCUGGUGUAGCGGUGAAAUGCGUAGAUAUCAGGAGGAACACCGGCGGCGAAGGCGGCCUGCUGGACCGCGACUGACGUUGAGGCUCGAAAGCGUGGGGAGCGAACAGGAUUAGAUACCCCAGUA